rnacentral:lncRNA from 1 species
UGAUGGUUAAUGCUGAGUGCCAACUUGAUUGAAGGAUAGAAAGUAUUGAUCCUGGGUGUAUCUGUGAGGGUGCUGCCAAAGGAGAUUAACUUUUGAGUCAGUGGGCUGGGAAACAUAGACCCUCCCUUAACUGGGUAGGCACCAUUUAAUCAGCUGCUAGUGAUUAUAAAGCAGGCAGAAAAAUAUGAAAAGGAGAGACUGGCCUAGCCUCCCAGCCUACAUCUUUCUCCCAUGCUGGAUGCUUUCUGCCCUAGAACAUUGGACUCCAAGUUCAGUUUGGGACUCGGACUGGUUCUCCUUGCUCCUCUGCUUGCAGACAGCCUAUUGUGGGACCUUGUGGUCAUAUGGAAAAAAGAAGCUUGGAGAAGGGGAAAUGACUUUACCCAGCUAAGAAUAUGGCAAAGCUGAGCCAACUAGUCAAGUUUUCUGACCCCAAAUCCUGUAUUUCCCAUGACUCAUCUUGUGGAAGGCUGAGGCCUCAGUUUCUCUGUCAGCACCAGAUGGGGACUUCUUCAGCCUGACACUCCAUAACUCAAGGUUGCACCCACAUCUCCUACCUUUGGGGGAAGGAGAGAGGGAUUAUGGGACAGUGGCAUCAAUCUCCUUCCCAGGAUGGAUCCUCUGAGCUCUAUAUUUCUUGCCUAUAGUGACCAGGGAAUUUUCCUCUAUUGAUUGCUUUCUGUAAUCGAGCUUAACAAAUAGAACUUCCCUCAAAUGAUUCUUCCAACUAAACUGAUAGAAAGCUAACCUUGUUAUAUUUAUUGACAGAACAUUGAAAUAAAUAUUAUAGGUCUAGAGGGA